AUAAUGAUACUUCCGUAAUUCGCGGCCCGGCCAUAGUAGGCGGGGAGAUGAGAUUUCUAUG
rnacentral:ncRNA from 1 species